CUAGAUUACAAUCCACACACGCAUUCAUUAUUCAUACAUAAGACAGGGUCCGACUAUGGACAAGAUAAACGGCAAAAUCAUGCUAUCUCGCCUUGCUAGUCCCACGAUCACAACCAUGCACCUCUAAUCCUCAGGAUACAUCACAUACAGUUUGUCACUGUCUUCGUCGAACUCCCACCUCAGCUGGUUAUCCUCGGGAACGUCUGCGUCUGGAGUACCUGUACGUGUCGGUG
rnacentral:lncRNA from 1 species